ACUUGAGGACCUGAGCCAAAGCCCAUUGAAGCCAAUGGGAGUCUUUCCAUUGACUGCAUAGGGCUUUGGAUCAGGUCCUAAACAU
rnacentral:pre_miRNA from 1 species